AUGGCUGUCUAUUGGGUCGUCUCCUGCCUCUGUCUCUCUUCUGCCCUUUUAAACUCUUAGCUCCCUAAAGAAUGAUGGUUGAGCAACAUACAGUAGAAAGAAUUUUAUCUUUGGGUUGCCACUACAUCUUUUUAUAUCUUGAUGACCAUCAUUUUUGUAGGUGGGACAGGUGGUAAUGGGACUGGUUUGGAUAUUGGGGCAGAUGAAGGACCCUCAGCACUGACUGUGACUGUUGGGGAAGUAGUCCGAGCUGCCAACGGGGAUCACCUCCCGGCUGACCUCGUCAUACUGUCGUCCAGUGAACCACAGGGAAUGUGCUACAUCGAAACAUCGAACUUGGAUGGUGAAACAAACCUUAAAAUUCGACAGGGUCUCCAAGUGACGGCCGACUUUAAGGACAUCGACAGCCUGACGCGUCUCUCGGGGCGGAUGGAGUGCGAGUGCCCGAACCGCCAUCUGUACGAGUUUGUGGGAAACAUCCGACUUGAUGGACACAGCACAGUGCCGCUGGGCCCGGACCAGAUCUUACUGAGAGGAGCCCAGCUGAGGAACACACAGUGGGUCCACGGUGUGGUGGUCUACACAGGACAUGACACAAAGCUCAUGCAGAACUCCACUCGGCCUCCGCUCAAAUUGUCCAAUGUGGAGCGCAUCACCAACUUUCAGAUUCUGGUCCUAUUUGGCUGCCUGCUGGCCAUCUCUCUGGUCUGCUCCGUGGGCCAAACCAUCUGGAAGUACCGGUGCGGCAAUGACGCCUGGUACAUGGACCUCAACUAUGGCGGGGCGGCUAACUUUGGCCUCAACUUCCUCACCUUCAUCAUCCUCUUCAACAACUUGAUCCCCAUCAGUCUACUGGUCACUCUGGAGGUCAUCAAGUUCAUCCAGGCCUUCUUCAUCAACUGGGACACUGAUAUGAUCUACGAGCCGACAAACACACCUGCCAUGGCUCGUACAUCCAACCUGAAUGAAGAGUUAGGCCAGGUGAAGUACAUUUUCUCUGACAAGACGGGCACGCUGACCUGCAACGUCAUGCAGUUCAAGAAGUGCACCAUCGCUGGCGUGGCCUACGGUCACGUGCCAGAGGCUGAGGAUGGUAGUUUUGCGGAGGAUGACGGGCACAGCACGCACUCGUCGGAGGAGUCCGGAUUUGUUGACCCAAGCUUGCUGGAAAACCUCCAAAGUAAUCAUCCGACAGCUGCUGUCAUCCUGGAGUUCAUGACCAUGAUGGCCAUCUGCCACACCGCAGUCCCCGAACGCAACGAUGGAACAAUCACCUACCAGGCGGCAUCUCCAGAUGAAGGCGCUCUGGUGAGAGCUGCACGGAACCUGGGAUUUGUUUUUUCUGGUAGAACCCCAGACAGCGUCAUUGUGGAAAUGCUGGGGAACGAGGAGAAGUAUGAGCUGCUUCAUGUGCUGGAGUUUACAAGUGCCAGGAAGAGAAUGUCAGUCAUCAUGCGCACACCAUCCGGAAAGAUCCGCCUCUACUGCAAAGGAGCCGACACAGUGAUUUAUGACAGACUGGCAGACAGUUCUCGGUACAAAGAGAUCACGUUGAAGCAUCUGGAGCAGUUUGCCACCGAGGGGCUACGCACGCUUUGCUUUGCCGUGGCGGACAUCAGCGAGUCGUCCUAUCAGCAGUGGCAGGAGCUGCACCAUCGAGCCUGUACCUCCCUACAGAACCGAGCCCUCAAGCUGGAGGAGAGCUAUGAACUUAUCGAGAAGAACCUGCAGUUGCUCGGGGCCACUGCCAUCGAGGACAAGCUCCAAGAUAAGGUGCCCGAAACCAUAGAGACUCUGAUGAAGGCCGACAUCAAGAUCUGGAUCCUUACCGGGGACAAGCAGGAGACAGCCAUCAACAUCGGACAUUCCUGCAAACUGCUGACCAAAAACAUGGGCAUGCUGGUGAUAAACGAGGACACACUUGAUAGAACAAGGGAGACCCUCAGCCACCACUGCGGAAUGCUGGGAGACGCUCUCUACAAGGAGAAUGACUUUGCGCUCAUCAUCGACGGCAAGACGCUCAAAUACGCCCUCACCUUCGGAGUGCGGCAGUACUUCCUGGACCUCGCACUGUCCUGCAAGGCUGUCAUAUGCUGCAGAGUGUCUCCUCUCCAGAAGUCGGAGGUGGUGGAGAUGGUGAAAAAGCAAGUGAAGGUGAUCACGUUGGCCAUCGGCGACGGAGCCAACGACGUGGGGAUGAUUCAGACAGCUCACGUGGGCGUGGGCAUAUCUGGCAACGAGGGCCUGCAGGCUGCCAACUCCUCCGACUACUCCAUUGCUCAGUUCAAAUACUUGAAGAAUCUGCUGCUCGUCCACGGAGCUUGGAAUUACAAUCGUGUAGCCAAAUGUAUCCUCUACUGCUUCUACAAAAACAUCGUCCUUUACAUCAUUGAGAUCUGGUUUGCGUUUGUGAAUGGCUUUUCGGGUCAGAUUCUGUUUGAGCGCUGGUGCAUCGGCCUGUACAACGUGAUCUUCACUGCUCUGCCUCCUCUCACUCUGGGAAUAUUUGAGCGCUCCUGUCGGAAAGAAAACAUGCUGAAGUACCCCGAGCUCUACAAAACCUCCCAGAAUGCAAUGGGCUUCAACACCAAGGUUUUCUGGGCUCAUUGUCUGAACGGUCUCUUCCACUCAGUCAUCCUCUUCUGGUUCCCUCUUCAAGCCUUCCAGCACGAUACAGUGUUUGGCAAUGGAAGAACUCCGGACUAUCUCCUCUUAGGAAACAUGGUUUACACAUUUGUGGUCAUCACAGUUUGCCUUAAAGCCGGCCUGGAAACAUCAUCCUGGACUAUGUUCAGUCACAUCGCCAUCUGGGGCAGCAUUGUGCUGUGGGUGGUGUUCUUCAUCAUCUACUCCUCCUUGUGGCCCCUCAUCCCCCUGGCCCCCGACAUGUCAGGCGAGGCGGAGAUGAUGUUCUCGUCGGGGGUCUUCUGGAUGGGCCUGGUCUUCAUCCCUAUCACCUCGCUGGUCUUUGACGUGGCCUACAAAGUGGUGAAGAGAGUGUGUUUUAAGACGCUGGUGGAUGAGGUGCAGGAGCUGGAGGCGUUAUCCAAAGAUCCCGGAGCAGUAGUACAGGGGAAAAGUUUGACGGAGAGGGCCCAGCUCCUGAAGAAUGUCUUCAAGAAGAGCACUGUGAGUCUGUACCGUUCCGAGUCCAUGCAGCAGAACCUGCUACGUGAGUUCACAUCCUUGUCUUGUUCUCCGAUAAUGUAUUUUUCUUGCACAAAGUUCACACUCUUGGAUCGGUACUCUGGUCCAGACCAAAAAUGUUUUUUAAAAAGAUACUUACUGUGCACUUUGGUGCCGUUUCCGUAGCGUUCAAUGGGUAUUUUUUUCAUGGAACCAAAGGCUGCACAGUAAAGAACAUAUGCAUAAAGUAAGGACCAUUGUAGAAACAAUCCCAAACAGCAAAAAACACUAAAAAUGCUGUAAUAUGCAUCCCAAGAUGCAUGGGAUGCCCCAUUCACACAGGAGUUUUUUUGGCGUAGCUGUUCUGUUCGAAAAAGUGGCAAGACGGACUUCUCCCACCCUGUUACGUUGAAAGCAGUAGCCCCUGUCAACCUCCUUGUAAAAGCCCCCCCAUGUCGCUGUUCUGUAUAAACUGCACUGGCACGGAAUAGGGGAGGAAGUCAUUCCAUCAAAAUUCCACCUCUGAGGGUCAGUAUCAGAGCUGCAACAGAAGUGGGCUGGUGCUUGUGUAAAAGGGAAUGCCGGGACAGUGGUGUAGAGUUGAAGACCCGACACACUCCCCCUGCCCUAUUACUGUUGUUGAUAGCAGGAGCCCCUUUCACACGGUCGGUAGAAGUUGCCUUUUUCCGCCUUUUUUCCAUGUUCAGGGGUCUCAUCUAUAAAGCUUGUGUACGCACAAAUGGGCCAAAAAGUUGUGUUUGCCGUUUUCCACUCAAAGAACUGUAUGUGAUCAAUAACAGCGGUUCUCAACUGGUGGGUCGGGACCCAAAAGUGGGUCGCAGAUUCAUUCUGGUGGGUCACAGACAAGUAAGAAAUUUCAUUGAAAUAUUUAAUAUGCACCUCAUGCACCUCAUGUCAAGUAAAUUGUGGUCUUUUUGAUAUUUCAUUUUAUUUUAUGCAUUAUUUAUAUGCAUGCAGUCAUCAUGUUCUUCCUCAUUUACUUUACAAACUGCCGUAAAUUUCCUAAAAAAUGCCCCUUGGACAUAAUUAUUACGUAAUUAUGUGCAUUCAUGUUUCAAAAGAUGACAGACAGUUAAAAACAAAUACAAUUAUUGAAAUAAAUAAAUGAAGGAAUAAAUAAGUAAAGACUAAAUAAAAUAAAUCAAAAUAAAAAAUACUUAAAUAAAAGUGUAAACAAUAAUAAAAAUAAAUAAAAAUGUAAAAAAUAAUAAACAUAAAUAACAAUUGAAAAUGACUUAAACAAAAGUGUGCCGUGACUUAAUGACCAUUGGAAAAUUUUGAGGACUCCUGAUCGAUAAAAAGAGUGUGCACACCAGCGUGAAGUGAAGUCAUACGUUAGAAAUGAACAAGCAAUGAAGCCAAUGCAGGUUCAUCAGUCAUUGACUUAACCGUCACAUCGUUAUUGGCUGUGUGGAAAGUGUUGCCAUUUUACAUGUUUAUUAAUCAACAUAAUCAAACAACAUAUGAGUGGUGAGUGUAAAUGGAUUCAUGGUAGUAGUCCUAAAGUAUCAUAAACACCAUUACACAUGAGGGUAUUAGUACCCUGACUAAAAGAUACAUAAAAAAAACAACAACGCAGGGCUUGGAAUCUAACCACUUCAUUUGAUUAUCAUGACAAUAUUAUUAUGUAUUUGAUAAUCAUUAAUUGUAAUAAACAUUAACUUAUCGAUCAAAUAAUUAUAUGUGUUUUAAGUUUAUAAGAUAAAGAGCCAAUAUGCAUGUCCUCAACGCUGCGCUGCGGACCAUUUAUCAAAAAACAAGACCGUUCUUCAUUGCAUAUGUUAAGUAUGUCAUCAAUAUCAACAUUUACAUGUGUUAGCAUAGCCUGUACUUGUGUGUCAGGGCCGUGUGCAUUGUUACUCUUGUUACGGUAGUUUUUCUUUUCUACAAAGGAUGAUUGCUCAUUUGUGUUGUUGUGAUUCACUAUAACUAAUACACAAAAUUAGUUCCUAAUAAUAACAAUAUCCCUAACAUUUCCAUGGUGUUAAAGUCAGCAUACUGUUAAAUAUUUUAAAAAAUGUCUGUCUAAAAAUACAGCAAAUCAAUCUGUGACGUAACUUCAUCCAUGUUUGGACUUUUCUUUGGAUGAAGUACUUUAAUGUACUGUGUGUACUGUAAUGUAAUGUAGGCGAUACGAGGAGGACAGGUACCUCUUUGCAUUUUAAAUGAGAGGUUCUUUGAAUCCAAAAUGUGCAAUAUUGGACUGAAGUGUGCAAAAUAUUAAAAAAGAGUUUGCUAAAAAUGAAAAUGUGUGCGAAGUUCCAUACACGCCGAUGAGUGGACGUGCUGUCACUCGAUCAUCUUUCUUUUAUUUGUUAUGCCACUGCUGUUUUUUUUUUUUUUUUUUUUUUUUAGUAUUUCCACCUCCAUUUCUUUGUCGUUGUCUUCUCACCAGCCGUCACAGCAGCCACCAUAACAAUGCAAUCAAGGCUCUUUAAAUAUGGACGCCACAUUCAUGAGUCACUUUGCAUCGACCUUCUCCAGUGAAGUGGAGGUGUGGCGAGGGCGUGCGUUGAAUACAUACACUUCUACUGUACUUAAGGUGGAAUCUAUAGACCACAAACUGCGUCAAAGUGAGCUUACGCCGCUUUUUAUGAGGGUGAACACUUGGCUUUCUGGCGUACGGAGACUUUCAGUCAGAAUUCCACGCACACUUUUAUAGAUGAGACCCCAGAACAACAACACGGAAAACAGCGUGCAGGGUACAAAGGUCAUAAAAGGUCCUAACAGUGGUGGGACAGCCCCUCUAUAAUCAGGACAGCCGAGUAUGAGAGCUGUAACAGAGUCUGCUUCUGUUUGAAAGCCGGGACAGGUGUGAAGCUCAACAUCGAACACUCCCUACUCCCACCAUGUUGUCACGGACCAAUUCUUUCUGGCAAUUUUCCGCCUUCUGAGGUAGUAUCUGAGCCGUAACAGAGACAGGUCUGCUUCUGUUUGAAAAGGGACUAGCAGGAAGCCAGGACAAGGCUGUGAAGCUCAACAUCAGACACUCACGGGUCCCGCCACGUUAUCUUUUUUUCGCCUAGAGUAGACUAAUUCUUUCUGGAAACGUUCAGCCUUCUGAGGUAGUAUCAGAGCUGUAACAGUGACGUGUCUGUACCUGUUUGAAAGAGACUAGCGCAAAGCGAGAACACAGGUGUCAAACUUAACAUCGGACGCUUUUUUUUACCCGCUCAAUUGUGUUGAAAGUUACGGCGACAUCCCACCUUCACUGAGUGUGAAUGGCUUAUUGAUAGCUUCUUUUACGGCUGUGAUGCGGCUACUUUGCCGACUGCACCAACAAAAGGCCAAAGACUCCAGAACAGGAAGCUGACGCCACCUUAAACCGAUGAGUCACCUUCAUGGCAAAUUAGAGAUGGUAAAUACUUCCAGCAUGAGGACGACGGCGUGUCAAAUAACGAGCUGUCAAGUGGAGACUGUGUCGAAAUCUUGUUUUCUUUUUCUUUUCGUCACCCUUUUUGUUCAUCUUCUUUAAAAUUUGCUUUGUUCUUUGGCUUACUGUUUGUUUUAAGACCAGAAGACACCAAAACUAGCCAGACGGGAUCAACAUUAGCUCCAGAGCAGAUUCACAAAAACUCAUCCUCAAAUUAUAUUUUAUUUGCAUUUAUUAUUUUGUGACCUGAUAUUUUAAUAUAAUGUUAUUAUAAGUCAUAUUUUUAAUGUCUAAGUAGUUUUUCAUUUUUCUCGCAGGGGCCAAAUACAUUUUGCUUUGUAAAAAUUAGAUUUUUUUGUUACUUUAAUAUUAAACUAGAGUGUUUUGGUUUUUAGUGGCUUUUAGUUCUUUUAUCAAGUAAGUUGAAAGUUACCAGCAGAUUUUUGUAGUCGAUGAAACAUUGUAAACAAAGCUCCGUUCCAAUUAGGUUAGCUGCCCUUUGAUUUUUGUUUUUGACAAUAUCGAGUAACUUUCAGGUUUUUCAAGGAACUGUCGAGUAAUUACAACUGUAUUUAAAAAAAAAAAAAAAAGACUUGCCAAAAUAUAUAAUUAAGCUAGCUACUUUUGAUUUCUUUGAUGAUGACAAAAUCCAGUAACCUGGAAAAUGAACCACAGAUUUGUUGAGUAUAGUAAUCACAGCUCUAUUUAAACAACGCAACAAAAAAACUAACUAAAACUAACUAAAACAAAUACUUGUAAUUAAUUUGUUUUUUUAGUUGUUUUAGUUAAAUUUAGUUGUAAUUUCUUAAAGUAUCGAGUAACAGAUUUUCCAAGUUGAUUCAAACUUGUAAAAAAAAAAAAGCUUUAUUAAAAAAAGUAGAAAUAAAUUAUUUUUUCUUUGUUGUUUUUUUACUUUUCAAAAAUAAUAUUAUUUGAUGAAAACGUACAACGAAAAAUAUAAAUAAAUAAUAACACAACUAAGACGUGUAAUUAGGCGAGUGUAGCCUGUUAAAAGUUCCGAUGAAGCAAAUGCAAAUAUUGAACGACGUCUUCCUUCUCGUUUUUAGUUGGAGCUCGGACUCAAAGCUUCGCAUUACGGAUUAGACCACUGUAGCAAGUUUUAGAUUAGUCCGCAACAAAUAACACUGAUGGAUGUUGAAAGGUGUCUCUUUUGAUUUUGUGUUUUAUUUCUUUGUAUUGUGUUGUGUUUUGUUGUGUUGUGUCCUUUUGUCUGAUCAGUUUGCUUUUUGUUUGUUGUCUCGUAGGUGGGGAUGAGUCGCUUGUUGUGUGAUUCCUUUCAUUACAUUUGAAAUAAUGACUCAAGCCCGCACCUGCUUCCAUUAGAGUUCCUCAUUAGAUGCCCCUUCCUUUUUUCCCUCGUUUCUUUCUUUGGUUCCAUGCCUUCCUGUCCUCUUCCUCGUGUGCCUGCUGUGUCCUGCGGUGAGCUUAGUAAAAGAAAAAAAUAGGUGAAAUGACGAAAUGUUGCGCUGUUAUUCCCCCCCCUGGCUCAGCACGCUCCUUUGAGCUGACCCGCUGGCCCCCCAGGUACUGACCCGCUCAUUUGACACCUCAAGACGGCUACGCCUUUUCCCAAGACGAGAACGGCGUGGUGUCCCAGUCGGAGGUGAUCCGAGCGUACGACACCACCAAGCAGAGGAGCAGAGAGUGG